rnacentral:rRNA from 1 species
GACGAACGCUGGCGGCGUGCUUAACACAUGCAAGUCGAACGAAGUGGCGAACGGGUGAGUAAUACGUGGGUAACCUGCCCUCCUUUUUGGGAUAAGCCUUGGAAACGGGGUCUAAUACCGAAUAAAGGGGGAUGGGCUCGCGGCCUUUCCGCUUGUUGGUGGGGUGAUGGCCUAACAAGGCGGUGACGGGUCGGCGGCCUGAGAGGGGGACCGUCCACAUUGGGACGGAGAUACGGCCCAGACUCCUACGGGAGUCAUCAGUGGGGAGUAUGUGACAAAGGACCAAAGUCUGAUCCAGCAUUUCUGUGUUCACGAUGAAGUUUUUCUGAAUGUAAAGUGCUUUCCAGUACCAACAGAAGAAGUGACGGCUAAAUACGUGCCAGCAGCCGCGGUAAUAC